UCUACGGGUGCCAAGGUCACACCCGUUCCCAUACCGAACACGGAAGUUAAGCUCUUCAGCGCCGAUGGUAGUUGGGGGUCUCCCCCUGUGAGAGUAGGACGCCGCCAAGC
rnacentral:rRNA from 1 species